rnacentral:rRNA from 1 species
AAAUCAGCGUCAGUAACAAAAUAAUAAUUACAACUUUCAACAACGGAUCUCUUGGUUCUGGCAUCGAUGAAGAACGCAGCGAAAUGCGAUAAGUAGUGUGAAUUGCAGAAUUCAGUGAAUCAUCGAAUCUUUGAACGCACAUUGCGCCCUUUGGUAUUCCAAAGGGCAUGCCUGUUCGAGCGUCAUUUGUACCCUCAAGCUUUGCUUGGUGUUGGGCGUCUUGUCUCUAGUUUGCUGGAGACUCGCCUUAAAGUCAUUGGCAG